GUCUCUGGGAGACUUCCAACUGGGAAUCUCCCGCUGAGGCCACACCUCUAGAUUAGGUUAGUGGCCCCUGAUCCACGCCGCUCCAGCAUUCUGCCAUGAGAAACCUCACUCUGCUGCAGCUUUAUCUUCUAAAUGACGUGCUGAGAACACCCACGAAACUGCAAUACCGGCUAAUCAGCCCCAGCUUCUUCAGAAAGGCUUCUGCUUGUGACUCCAUGAUCUGUAGCUUAUACACUUCACUCUCCUUCCAGUUUUCAAGUACGGAUACCUGCCAGUAGAUCAGAAGACAUAUGAGUAUUUUACAAAUGACAGCCUGAAACUAUUUUAAAGGUUAAAACUUAAACAUUCAAACCACUUUCCCAUUUCUCCUUAAAUGAAGCAUGACAGAAUCAUCAGAACUUGAUUGUAUCAUAGGUGAACAUGAAUUAGACUUUGAGAUUUGAAAACAGAACAAAAUGACAUCACAAAUGCAUACCUUCCAUGAUCCUUUUUGCAGAUAUGAAUAACUGUACAUGGCUUUCUGCUUAAGCUAUAUAUAAGCACAGAGCCAGGUUAACUGCAUGUGUACACGAGUGUGCAUUACCUAUGGUCCUGCAGCAGAAUAACCCUUAAUAAAGGCUGCAUCCUCUGCAAGUUUAGAAAAGCCUCAGAGAAGCUGUUCUCGGCAAGGGCAUCAAAAGCUUCGGGGUAUGCUUUUAAGAUUUUAGACUCUCUGUGGCUUCCCCACAAACCAACUGGCCAUUUUUGUGAGAAUCACUGCAGGAAAUGUAAAAUGGCCUCAUGGUCCAAAUGAUCCAUUAAAUAGCCUUUUAAUCCAGGUGUCAGUAAACUUGACAGGGCCCACCAGGCAAACCUGCUUACCAAACGGUGGUGUGAAUUAAACAAGCUCAGGAAUACGGAUGCUGGUGUAGGACCCAAAAAGUAUUCAUACUUUGGCUCUUUUUCCUUUCCUGUCCUUAGAAGCAGGUGCAUAGUCAAUUCUUAAUUGAAAAGCCUAAUGUUUGCAGACUGUAUAAACUAAGUCUUUUCUUACUUUACCAGAAUAAUCACAGACACAUAUGCCAAUAAAUAUCAUUUGUUUCUCAGCUACAGAAACA
rnacentral:lncRNA from 1 species